UACAGAGGGUGCAAGCGUUAAUCGGAAUUACUGGGCGUAAAGGGUGCGUAGGUGGUUGAUUAAGUUAUCUGUGAAAUACCUGGGCUCAACCUGGGGCGGUCAGAUAAUACUGGUUAACUAGAGUAUGGGAGAGGGCAGUGGAAUUUCCGGUGUAGCGGUGAAGUGCGUAGAGAUCGGAAGGAACACCAGUGGCGAAGGCGGCUACCUGGCCUAAUACUGACACUGAGGCACGAAAGCGUGGGGAGCGAAACAGGAUUAGAAA
rnacentral:rRNA from 1 species